rnacentral:rRNA from 1 species
GACGAACCGAGCGAACGUUAUUCGGAAUCACUGGGCUUAAAGGGCGCGUAGGCGGGCUCGCGAGUCAGGGGUGAAAGCCCCCAGCCCAACUGGGGAAGUGCCUUUGAUACUGCGAGCCUCGAGGGAGGUAGGGGCGUGCGGAACUUCCGGUGGAGCGGUGAAAUGCGUUGAUAUCGGAAGGAACACCGGUGGCGAAAGCGGCGCGCUGGACCUCUUCUGACGCUGAGGCGCGAAAGCCAGGGGAGCGAACGGG